rnacentral:rRNA from 1 species
UUAAGCGACUAAGCGUACACGGUGGAUGCCCUGGCAGUCAGAGGCGAUGAAGGGCGUGCUAAUCUGCGAUAAGCGCCGGUAAGGUGAUAUGAACCGUUAUAACCGGCGAUACCCGAAUGGGGAAACCCAGUGUGACUCGUCACACUAUCAUUAACUGAAUCCAUAGGUUAAUGAGGCGAACCGGGGGAACUGAAACAUCUAAGUACCCCGAGGAAAAGAAAUCAACCGAGAUUCCCCCAGUAGCGGCGAGCGAACGGGGAGGAGCCCAGAGCCUGAAUCAGCAUGUGUGUUAGUGGAAGCGUCUGGAAAGGCGCGCGAUACAGGGUGACAGCCCCGUACACAAAAGCGCAUAUGCUGUGAGCUCGAUGAGUAGGGCGGGACACGUGGUAUCCUGUCUGAAUAUGGGGGGACCAUCCUCCAAGGCUAAAUACUCCUGACUGACCGAUAGUGAACCAGUACCGUGAGGGAAAGGCGAAAAGAACCCCGGCGAGGGGAGUGAAAAAGAACCUGAAACCGUGUACGUACAAGCAGUGGGAGCACCCUUUGGGGUGUGACUGCGUACCUUUUGUAUAAUGGGUCAGCGACUUAUAUUCUGUAGCAAGGUUAACCGAAUAGGGGAGCCGGAGGGAAACCGAGUCUUAACCGGGCGUUAAGUUGCAGGGUAUAGACCCGAAACCCGGUGAUCUAGCCAUGGGCAGGUUGAAGGUUGGGUAACACUAACUGGAGGACCGAACCGACUAAUGUUGAAAAAUUAGCGGAUGACCUGUGGCUGGGGGUGAAAGGCCAAUCAAACCGGGAGAUAGCUGGUUCUCCCCGAAAGCUAUUUAGGUAGCGCCUCGUGAAUUCAUCUCCGGGGGUAGAGCACUGUUUCGGCUAGGGGGCCAUCCCGGCUUACCAACCCGAUGCAAACUGCGAAUACCGGAGAAUGUUAUCACGGGAGACACACGGCGGGUGCUAACGUCCGUCGUGAAGAGGGAAACAACCCAGACCGCCAGCUAAGGUCCCAAAGUCAUGGUUAAGUGGGAAACGAUGUGGGAAGGCCCAGACAGCCAGGAUGUUGGCUUAGAAGCAGCCAUCAUUUAAAGAAAGCGUAAUAGCUCACUGGUCGAGUCGGCCUGCGCGGAAGAUGUAACGGGGCUAAACCAUGCACCGAAGCUGCGGCAGCGACGCUGAUGCGUUGUUGGGUAGGGGAGCGUUCUGUAAGCCUGCGAAGGUGGCCUGUGAGGGUUGCUGGAGGUAUCAGAAGUGCGAAUGCUGACAUAAGUAACGAUAAAGCGGGUGAAAAGCCCGCUCGCCGGAAGACCAAGGGUUCCUGUCCAACGUUAAUCGGGGCAGGGUGAGUCGACCCCUAAGGCGAGGCCGAAAGGCGUAGUCGAUGGGAAACGGGUUAAUAUUCCCGUACUUGGUGUUACUGCGAAGGGGGGACGGAGAAGGCUAUGUUGGCCGGGCGACGGUUGUCCCGGUUUAAGCGUGUAGGCUGGUUUUCCAGGCAAAUCCGGAAAAUCAAGGCUGAGGCGUGACGACGAGGCACUACGGUGCUGAAGCAACAAAUGCCCUGCUUCCAGGAAAAGCCUCUAAGCAUCAGGUAACAUCAAAUCGUACCCCAAACCGACACAGGUGGUCAGGUAGAGAAUACCAAGGCGCUUGAGAGAACUCGGGUGAAGGAACUAGGCAAAAUGGUGCCGUAACUUCGGGAGAAGGCACGCUGACACGUAGGUGAAGUGAUUUACUCAUGGAGCUGAAGUCAGUCGAAGAUACCAGCUGGCUGCAACUGUUUAUUAAAAACACAGCACUGUGCAAACACGAAAGUGGACGUAUACGGUGUGACGCCUGCCCGGUGCCGGAAGGUUAAUUGAUGGGGUCAGCGCAAGCGAAGCUCCUGAUCGAAGCCCCGGUAAACGGCGGCCGUAACUAUAACGGUCCUAAGGUAGCGAAAUUCCUUGUCGGGUAAGUUCCGACCUGCACGAAUGGCGUAAUGAUGGCCAGGCUGUCUCCACCCGAGACUCAGUGAAAUUGAACUCGCUGUGAAGAUGCAGUGUACCCGCGGCAAGACGGAAAGACCCCGUGAACCUUUACUAUAGCUUGACACUGAACAUUGAGCCUUGAUGUGUAGGAUAGGUGGGAGGCUUUGAAGUGUGGACGCCAGUCUGCAUGGAGCCGACCUUGAAAUACCACCCUUUAAUGUUUGAUGUUCUAACGUGGACCCGUGAUCCGGGUUGCGGACAGUGUCUGGUGGGUAGUUUGACUGGGGCGGUCUCCUCCUAAAGAGUAACGGAGGAGCACGAAGGUUGGCUAAUCCUGGUCGGACAUCAGGAGGUUAGUGCAAUGGCAUAAGCCAGCUUGACUGCGAGCGUGACGGCGCGAGCAGGUGCGAAAGCAGGUCAUAGUGAUCCGGUGGUUCUGAAUGGAAGGGCCAUCGCUCAACGGAUAAAAGGUACUCCGGGGAUAACAGGCUGAUACCGCCCAAGAGUUCAUAUCGACGGCGGUGUUUGGCACCUCGAUGUCGGCUCAUCACAUCCUGGGGCUGAAGUAGGUCCCAAGGGUAUGGCUGUUCGCCAUUUAAAGUGGUACGCGAGCUGGGUUUAGAACGUCGUGAGACAGUUCGGUCCCUAUCUGCCGUGGGCGCUGGAGAACUGAGGGGGGCUGCUCCUAGUACGAGAGGACCGGAGUGGACGCAUCACUGGUGUUCGGGUUGUCAUGCCAAUGGCACUGCCCGGUAGCUAAAUGCGGAAGAGAUAAGUGCUGAAAGCAUCUAAGCACGAAACUUGCCCCGAGAUGAGUUCUCCCUGAGACUUAGAGUCUCCUGAAGGAACGUUGAAGACGACGACGUUGAUAGGCCGGGUGUGUAAGCGCAGCGAUGCGUUGAGCUAACCGGUACUAAUGAACCGUGAGGCUUAACCUU